rnacentral:lncRNA from 1 species
GUCUUUAUUAGGUCUUCAUAAGGUCAAUAUCACAUCUUUAUCAGGUAAUAUCAGGUCAAUAUCAUUUCAAUAUCAGUUGUUUUUUAUCAGGUCAAUAGCAGGUCAAUAUCACAUCUUUAUCACGUCAAAAUCAUGUCAAUAUCAGGUAAAUAUCAGGUUUUUAUCAGAUCAAUAUCAGGUCAACAUCAGGUCAAUAUCAGGUCUAUAUUAGGUCAAUAUCAGGUCAAUAUCAGGUCAAUAUCAUGUCAAAAUCAGGUCAUUAUCAUGUCGAUAUCAGGUCAAUAUCAUAUCAAUAUCAGUUUUUCUUCAGGUCAAUAGCAGGUCUUUAACAGGUCAAUAUCAGGACUUUAUUAGGUCUUUAUACAGUCAAUAUCAGGUAAAUAUCAUGUCAAUAUCAGGUCAAUAUCAGUUCUUUAUCAGAUAAAUAUCAGGUCAAUAUUAGGGCUUUAUCAGGUCAAAUUUCAUGUCAAUAUCAUAUCAAUAUCAUGUCAAUAUCAGGUCAAUAUCACUUAAAAUAUCACGUCUUUAUCACGUCAAUAUCAGGUCAAUAUCAAGUCUUUAUUAGGUCAAUAUCACAUCAAUAUCACAUCUUUAUUAGGUCAAUAUCAGGUCAUUAUCAGGACAAUAUCAGGUCUUUCAUAGGUCAAUAUCAUGUAAAUAUCAGGUCAAUAUCAGAUCAUUAUCAGGUCAACAUAAUUUCAAUAUCAGGUCAAUAUCACGUAAAUAUCACGUCAAUUUCAAGUCAAUAUCAUGUAUUUAUUAGAUCAAUAUCACGUCUUUAUCAGGUCAAUAUCAGAUCAAUAUCAGGUCAAUAUCAGGUCAAUAUCAGUUCAUUAUCAUGUCAAUAUCACGUCUUUAUAAGGUCAAUAUCAUGUCAAUAUCACGUCAAUAUCAUGUCAACAUCAGGUCAAUAUCAUGACAAUAUCAUGACAAUAUCAGUUCAAUAUCAGAUCAAUAUCAGGUCAAUAUCAAGUCAAUAUCAGUUCAAUAUAAUGAAAAUAUCAUGUCAAUAUCAUGACAAUAUCAUGACAAUAUCAUGUCAAUAUCAGAUCAAUAUCAAGU